AACACAGUCACUACAGUUUUUGAUGUCGCAGAUACUGCAUCAGGAACUGAUUGGGUAAGACUCAGUCACUAUCAGUUCCUAAUGCAUUGCCUUCAGCAUCUAAACAA
rnacentral:pre_miRNA from 1 species